rnacentral:rRNA from 1 species
GAUGAACGCGGGGGGCGUGUUUAACCCAUGCAAGUGGAAGGAAGCAGCUUAUUACGUUCCUUUGGGGGGGAGGAUUUGUGGAUGGAGGGGCGGACGGGGGAGUAACGCGUGGGUAACCUACCUUGUCCAGGGGGAUACCAGUGGGAAAGGACUGUUAAUCCCGCAUAAGCGCCCGGUUUGCCAUGAAGGGGUGUGAAAAGUUUUUCGGUAUAAGAUGGACCCGCGUCUGAUUAGCUAGUUGGUGAGGUAACGGCCCACCAAGGCGACGAUCAGUAGCCGACCUGAGAGGGUGACCGGCCACAUUGGGACUGAGACACGGCCCAAACUCCUACGGGAGGCAGCAGUGGGGAAUAUUGCACAAUGGGCGAAAGCCUGAUGCAGCGACGCCGCGUGAGCGAAGAAGUAUUUCGGUAUGUAAAGCUCUAUCAGCAGGGAAGAUAAUGACG